rnacentral:rRNA from 1 species
GCUUGCUACCUGACCUAGCGGCGGACGGGUGAGUAAUGCUUAGGAAUCUGCCUAUUAGUGGGGGACAACAUUCCGAAAGGAAUGCUAAUACCGCAUACGCCCUACGGGGGAAAGCAGGGGAUCUUCGGACCUUGCGCUAAUAGAUGAGCCUAAGUCAGAUUAGCUAGUUGGUGGGGUAAAGGCCUACCAAGGCGACGAUCUGUAGCGGGUCUGAGAGGAUGAUCCGCCACACUGGGACUGAGACACGGCCCAGACUCCUACGGGAGGCAGCAGUGGGGAAUAUUGGACAAUGGGCGAAAGCCUGAUCCAGCCAUGCCGCGUGUGUGAAGAAGGCCUUUUGGUUGUAAAGCACUUUAAGCGAGGAGGAGGCUACUUAGAUUAAUACUCUAGGAUAGUGGACGUUACUCGCAGAAUAAGCACCGGCUAACUCUGUGCCAGCAGCCGCGGUAAUACAGAGGGUGCGAGCGUUAAUCGGAUUUACUGGGCGUAAAGCGUGCGUAGGCGGCUUCUUAAGUCGGAUGUGAAAUCCCUGAGCUUAACUUAGGAAUUGCAUUCGAUACUGGGAAGCUAGAGUAUGGGAGAGGAUGGUAGAAUUCCAGGUGUAGCGGUGAAAUGCGUAGAGAUCUGGAGGAAUACCGAUGGCGAAGGCAGCCAUCUGGCCUAAUACUGACGCUGAGGUACGAAAGCAUGGGGAGCAAACAGGAUUAGAUACCCUGGUAGUCCAUGCCGUAAACGAUGUCUACUAGCCGUUGGGGCCUUUGAGGCUUUAGUGGCGCAGCUAACGCGAUAAGUAGACCGCCUGGGGAGUACGGUCGCAAGACUAAAACUCAAAUGAAUUGACGGGGGCCCGCACAAGCGGUGGAGCAUGUGGUUUAAUUCGAUGCAACGCGAAGAACCUUACCUGGUCUUGACAUAGUAAGAACUUUCCAGAGAUGGAUUGGUGCCUUCGGGAACUUACAUACAGGUGCUGCAUGGCUGUCGUCAGCUCGUGUCGUGAGAUGUUGGGUUAAGUCCCGCAACGAGCGCAACCCUUUUCCUUAUUUGCCAGCGGGUUAAGCCGGGAACUUUAAGGAUACUGCCAGUGACAAACUGGAGGAAGGCGGGGACGACGUCAAGUCAUCAUGGCCCUUACGACCAGGGCUACACACGUGCUACAAUGGUCGGUACAAAGGGUUGCUACCUAGCGAUAGGAUGCUAAUCUCAAAAAGCCGAUCGUAGUCCGGAUUGGAGUCUGCAACUCGACUCCAUGA